GACGAACGCUGGCGGCGUGCCUAAUACAUGCAAGUCGAGCGCUGAAGGUAGGUACUUGUUCCUCCUGGGUGAGCAGCGAACGGGUGAGUAACGCGUGGGGAAUCUGCCUUUGAGCGGGGGACAACAUCGGGAAACGAGUGCUAAUACCGCAUAAAAACUUUAAACACAAGGUUUAAGUUUGAAAGACGCUAUUGCAUCACCCAAAGAUGAUCCCCCCUCGUAUUAGGCAGUUGGGGAGGUAAAGGCCCACCAAGGCGAAGAUACAUAGCCCGCCUGAGAGGGGUGUCCGCCAACUUGGGAAUGGGACAACGCCCAAGACCCCACGGGGGGCAGCAGGAGGGAAUCUUCGGGCAUGGGGGAAAGGCUGACCGGGCAACGCCGCGGGAGUGAAGAAGGUUCUCGGAUCGUAAAACUCUGUUGGUAGGGAAGAACGAUGGUUGGAGGUGAAAGCGCAUGAAGUGACGGUAACUACCCAGAAAGGGACGGCUAACUACGUG
rnacentral:rRNA from 1 species